GAUGAACGCUGGCGGCGUGCUUAACACAUGCAAGUCGAACGAAGCACUUUGAAGUUUUCGGACUAAUAAGUGACUGAGUGGCGGACGGGUGAGUAACGCGUGGGUAACCUGCCUCAUACAGGGGGAUAACAGUUAGAAAUGGCUGCUAAUACCGCAUAAGCGCACAGUACCGCAUGGUACGGUGUGAAAAACUCCGGUGGUAUGAGAUGGACCCGCGUCUGAUUAGCUAGUUGGUGAGGUAACGGCUCACCAAGGCGACGAUCAGUAGCCGACCUGAGAGGGUGACCGGCCACAUUGGGACUGAGACACGGCCCAAACUCCUACGGGAGGCAGCAGUGGGGAAUAUUGCACAAUGGGCGAAAGCCUGAUGCAGCGACGCCGCGUGAACGAGGAAGUAUUUCGGUAUGUAAAGUUCUAUCAGCAGGGAAGAAAAUGACGGUACCUGACUAAGAAGCACCGGCUAAAUACGUGCCAGCAGCCGCAGUAACAC
rnacentral:rRNA from 1 species